rnacentral:rRNA from 1 species
AGGGUUCGAUUAUGGCUCAGAUUGAACGCUGGCGGUAGGUUUUAUCCAUGCAAGUCGAGCGGUAACAGACAUUUUGAUUCAGCUUGCUGAAUCUAGUGCUGACGAGCGGCGAACUGGUGAGUAACGCGUAGGAAUCUGCCCAGUAGCGGGGGAUAGCCCGAGGAAACUCGGAUUAAUACCGCAUACGCCCUAAGGGGGAAAGGGGGCAUCUUUGAUGCUCUUACUAUUGGAGGAGCCUGCGUAAGAUUAGCUUGUUGGUAGGGUAAAGGCCUACCAAGGCAACGAUCUUUAGCUGGUCUGAGAGGACGAUCAGCCACAUUGGGACUGAGACACGGCCCAGACGUCUACGGACGGCAGCAGGAGAGAAUAUUGGACAAUGAGGGAAACCUUGAUCCAGCCAUACCGCGUGUGUGAAGAAGGCCUUAGGGUUGUAAAGCACUUUAAGCGAUGAAGAAGAAAAGUAAGUUAAUACCUUAUUCUUUUGACGUUACUCGCAGAAUAAGUACCGGCUAACUCCGUGCCAGCAGCCGCGGUAAUAC